rnacentral:lncRNA from 1 species
CUCCAUCAACGUCAGAGCAUACCUAGACAGCGUUUUCCGUUGGACUAUAGGACAAAGUUCUUGGACUUUGAUUCAAAUUUAUUGUACCAGGUCUUCGAAUUGGAAUCACUUGACUAUCUUUCUGUGUAGAAAACUCAUAGAAGCGCAGAAAACGGUCUUUAACAUAAUAAAGAUAGUCUCCACUUACAGAAAAUGCAGGUCAUUCUCUCUCCAAUUUAAAAACGAUCAUGCCACUAUCAUGACCUGCUGCCAAAAGGUUCAUUUCAAGAUGAGAUGCCAGAAUCCAGAACCGCCAAAAUGAUUACUGGAGACGAAGAAAACGCACGCAGAUAAGAAUGACUUCCGCAUGCAGAUCAAGAAACAUGGGCUUCAAAGGAUUAAAGUUCUGUAUACCCAGCUGCUGGCUCAGCAAGCGCAUUGCAGUGUCAAAAUUGCCAGCUGCUGCUUGCUCCCCAGCAAGAGAUGAUUUCUGAAUCCAUAUCUGGCUUACAGGCAUGCCUGGAGUUGAAAUGACAAACUCAGCAGAGCGGGUAUUAGCAGAAACCUUUGGAGUAUCAACUUCAGGAGGUAGCUCAAGAUCCUCAAGGUCCCAUCCCCCUUCCUCAUCAUUUUCAUCAUUUGUUUCCCCAACUUCCACUGCCCCAACAUCUCCAUUUCGCGCACCUUCACCAUCAACAAUAUCUAAUUCUUUGCCUCAGUCAGCACCAGCAGCCUCUUCAUCUUCCUCCCGUACUCCCCUGCCUAUAUUUUCCACUCCACCCUAAAAAAUGCCUCCAUAAUCCUGGGCAAGAGCCAGUCUCCACCACAUAGGAUGGGUGAGGGGGCAUCAAAAGUGAAGGUACUUUUCCCUGCAGAAAAGAAGGAACAUUGUCUCCCAAUUUAGCUUCUAAUUGUUCAGCAACAUCAUUGAGCCCAUGAACUGUAAAGCUUUGAACUUCCUCAAAAAAAAAAAAACAUCAUUGGGUCCAUGAACUGUAGCUGUCAUAUAAGCAAGGGGAGAAUGUUGGCAUUCUCCAGAAUUUUAAUACGCUCGUGUAUGUCACCCAGAUACAGUCAUACAGGACAUUGCGGAACUGACUCAUUACAUCAUUCUUGAGCCCUGCAAUUUUCAGCAUUUUCGACAACAUGCAGAUAUUCCCCAUCACAAGAUAAAGGAAGGAAAACCUAUCAAAAUUCUUUGUUCUUUGGUAAGCAUAUUCAACAAUGCCAGCAUUGCCUUGACAAAGGGCUUCCACUCCUAACCUAUACCAGUGAUCUUUUUCAUCAAUUGCAUUCUCUAAAGCAACAGUAAUCUGGAUGUUGACACUCUCUAUUGCCAAGUAAAAACGAGUCCUCUCAUCUUUCACAAAAUGGAGAGCAACUUCUGGGAAUCCUUCUGCUGCAGAUAGGGAAUCAUGGCUUGUCCACAGAGCUGUGAAUUCCUGAUGAAGCUGAUGACUUGGUCAUAUUUCUUCUUUAGAAGGGAGAGCUUAAAUACAUAUUCUGUUGCAUCAAUAAUAACUGCCCUGUUCUUCCAAUCCCAAUCCAAGCAAAAUAAGGUAUUUCCAGAAAUUUCCGUGAUGUAUAUUGGGACAUCAAGGGUCUUGAUGAUUCCACUGUCUCCAUUUGGAAGGCAAUACUUGAUGUGGUUCAGGAUUUUAUAUACGAAGACUCCAUUGUCAUCCCAGGCUCCGCUCUUUACAUGGAUUGUCUCAUGAAGAGUGCAUCAAUGGACAAGUUUCUUACUAGCAAUAGAGUGUUUGUUCAGCGAUGCAAUACUCUCCAUGUCAUUUGACCAAACAACAUACUUUAUGAAUGGAGUUUGAAGAUCACCACGAACAAACCUCUGCUAAGGAUAAAGAAUAACCACUCUAUCCUCCGCUCUGCAAAACAAUUGCCUGUCCCAACACAAAAUAUUGCGUCAGCAACAAUAGGUAGGAUGCUCUUCUUUACUAUCUUGUUCUUCAGGUUCUUCACUAACACUUGAUUGUUGCUCUUGUCGCACAGCAAACCUAUUACAAGUCACAAAUACAGCUGACCCUCCAACUCCUCUUUUUGCAUCUUGAAUGGUAUCAUCUCUAGAAAUGCUAUCUUUAGGUAUAGUAUAAAGCUCAUAAGAACUCCAAUCAACAUCAGAGCAUACCAAGACAUCGUUUUCCGCUGCACUAUAUGACAAAGUUCUUGGACUUUGAUUCAAACUGGUAGUACAGGUCUUCGAAUUGGAAUCACUUGACUAUCUUUCUGAGUAGAAAACUCAUAGAAGCGCAGGAAACGGUGUUUAACAUUAUAAAGUAAGUCCCCGUUUACAGAUAAUGCAGGUCGUUCUCUCUCCAAUUUAAAAACAAUCAUGCCACUAUCAUGGCCUGC